rnacentral:misc_RNA from 1 species
AACUUUUGGCAACGGAUCACUUGGUUCUGGCAUCGAUGAAGAACUCAGCGAAAUGCGAUAAGUAAUGUGAAUUUCAGAAUUCAGUGAAUCAUCGAAUCUUUGAACGCACAUUGCGCCCGCUGGUAUUCCGGCGGGCAUGCCUGUCCGAGCGUCAUUAUGACCAAUCAAGCUCUGCUUGGCCUUGGGGCCUGCUAUACCAGCGGCUCUUAAAACCCGUGGCGGUGCCGUCUGGCUCUAAGCGUAGUAAUUCUCCUCGCUAUAGGGCUCUAGACGUCCACCCGCCAGAACCCCCAAACUUCUCAAGGUUGACCUCGGAUCAGGUAGGGAUACCCGCUGAACCUAAGCAUAUCAAUAAGCGGAGGCU